rnacentral:rRNA from 1 species
AUGUGGAAGGCAUGGCAGUUGCGCCGAGCAAUCCAUCUACGGCGUCGUCGACCAAGCUCGAAUCUAAGGAGAGAGCCCAAGAUUGGACACCGAGGUUAUGCCAAUAAUGUUCCGGAGUUGAACUCCAACAGUGGGGCCUUGCUGAAAGGUGAACGCUACUACACACUGGGGAAGAGAGAAGGCAGCUCUGUGUGCAAUUCAGCCAUUGCCGGAGCUUCAGAGGAAACCGGAUUUAGUGCGGAGCACGAUAUUGGGGGUGAGUGCGAGGCUGAUGUCCAUUUGGUAGCAAAAUUGGGCCCUGGUAUUGGGAAAUUGAUUAUGUCGAAGUGCUCUUUCAUUUUUGACAGUGGAAGGGACACCUUUGAAGGGAAUUGCAGCUUGCGUGAUGUACUUAAGCUUGGUCUCUGGCUCUCACCGGAGACCCUCCGCAGGUUCUGGCGUGCUUCGCGGCUGAGGCCUGAGGAUUUUCUUGACAUUUUGAUCGGUUUCGGACAAGGUGCAGCAGAAGUUAGGAACGCAAGAUUUCUGUGGAAUUUGUAUAGGUGGGCUUCGUGGCAGAGCAAGGACUUCCGACAUCUUCCAAGGUCGAAUGACAUCAUGGUGUCAAUACUUGCAGAUGCUCAUAUGCUCAGCCAAGCUGAAUCACUGCUUCUCUUGCUGGAUGACAACAGGGCUCUCACCGAUGCGAGUAGACUGUUCAGUCAGAUUACCCAGAUGUAUUCAGAAGCUGGCCACCUCGACAAAUCAGUGGCACUUUUUGAUUGUGCAAGGUCCAAGUGUUUGAUUCCUUCAGCCUCAUGCUAUCAAGUACUUCUAAAUCGUCUGGUCGGAAAGAGAAAAGAGGAGUUAGUAUUAAGAGUAUAUGUGGACAUGCUUGAAGUUGGAUUAGGCUCUUGCACAGAAGGAGAUAUUCUUGAUUUUGUCGUCAAUGCUUUAGUCAAGGGAGACAAAUUCUUACAGGCUAUUCGUAUAAUUCGGCAGCUAAAGAGCUUGAACAUUGAAAUAAGCAAGGGAUCCUUGUCAACUGUUGCAAAAGAAUUUUGCAGGAAGAAGGACAUUGGUGAUAUGAUGAAUUUCUUGGAAGAGUGGAGGUAUUUACCUGAGCUGCGUCUUUGCAAUCGAAUGCUUGCGUCUUUGUGCACAAAUCUUGGUACUGACGAGGCAUGGUUUGUCUUGCAAAGAUUAGAGUCCUUAGGAUUUGCCCCAGAUGCUACAGCCUUUGGCAUUUUCAUAUGCCAUAGCUGUAGAGAAAUGAAACUCAAAGCUGCAUUCCUCUAUUUAUCUGAGUGCUUUUCUAGACAUAUUGAACCUAAAGUUUGUGCUUAUAAUGCUAUUAUAGGUGGUGUUUUCACAGAGGGAUUGUACAGACAUGCAAAAUAUAUCCUUGAAGACAUGAUUGAAAGAAAAAUAAUGCCAGAACUGUUAACAUACAGGAUACUUCUGGCAGGAUAUUGCAAGUAUAGGCAGUUUGAUGAUAUAGAACAUAUCUUGAGAACAAUGGAGACUAAUGGUGUAAAUGAUCUUCCAUCUGGAAAUUGUGUGCUCUCUAAGGCCUUAUCCUUCCUGGGGCUAGACCACUUAGGAGUGAAGGUCAAGAGAGAUAACGCCACUGGCUUUCCAAAAGCCGAGUUUUUUGAUUCAGUAGGCAAUGGCCUGUAUUUGGACACUGACUCCAAAAGGUUUGAGAUUUCGUUGGUACAGAUUCUUGAUAAUGCUCUUUACCUAGAUAUUAACUCGAAGAUAGUCAAUGCGUGUCAGCAAGGCAAUGUUGCAAGUGCUCUUCUGCUGAAAAAUGAAGCUUUUCAAUGGGGACAUUACAUUUCACCAGCUAGCUCUUCAGAACUAAUCAAGUCCUUGUGUGCAAGCCCUGCGCAUGUUAUGGAUGUUAUUGACCUUAUGGAGGAAAUGCCAUAUACAUUUGAUAAAUUGGACGCUCAAACUCUAAAUUUAGUCGUCCAAACACUGAGUAAGAAUGAGACGUCAGCUCGUGCAAAAUUAGUUUUGGACAGGUUAUUCAGAAGGGGCUUGCCAGUCAAUCAAGAUACCUAUACUUAUUUGCUUAUAGGCUUCUGUACAGAAAGGAACAUCGCAGGGUUUUGGGAGUGUUGGAAUGUUGCAACAAAGUUUAGUUGGUCUCCUGACAAGAAGGAUGUGAUUCCCCUCAUUAGUCACUUGUGCAAAUGGGGAGUAAUGGAGGAAGCCUUGCAGCUUAUAAGCGUGCUGCUCGACUGCUAUCCAAAUUUGUUUCUUAGUGCAUAUUGUGCACUUCUCAAAGAGUUAUGCAGGACAGGUUACACUAAUGUUGGAUGUGCGAUGCUGGAGGCUCUCCUAGAAAAGGGUGUGGAUGUGGGUCGUUCACUGAUUCUUAAUGUGGCAGAGGGCUUCCUAAAGGAGCAGAAGACUGUCGAAUCGAUUGGACUGUAUGACAUCUGCGGUAAUGAAAUCAAAAUAUCGGAUCUGUUUACCCACCAAUUUGCAUUCUCUUCACUAGCAUUGUUUGAUGCAGAACGGUGCAAGGACUUGGUACAGUCUAUGAUGAAAACAGAAUGUUCUGAUGUCUCAGCUUGCAGCUGCAUUGUGAACGAAUUACUGCAGACAGGAAAAGUAAGCCAGGCAAUAUCAGUUGUUCAAGCAUCCACUUCAGGGAAGAAAUUAAGUGUCAAGUUGCUAAAUUCCAUCCUUCAGUCGUAUUGUUGUCUAAACAAUUGGAGAAAAGUAGAUGCAGUUCUUUGUAUCAUGCUAAAGAUACAUGGCAUAUCUAUUUCUAGCUACCGCCUUCUUGUCCGCAGAAUGUGUGAGCAGAGUCAGUUUUCUAGUGCAUUAUACCUUAAGGAGCUGAUCCAAGACAGUGACAAGUCAAAAGACCUAAUUUUAUACAACAUUCUGUUAUUCUAUCUUUUCAAGAGAAGAAACAUUUUGCAGGUUCUGGAUUUGUUGAAGGAUAUGAAAGGUAACGGUAUUUCUCCAGACAAAACAACAUAUGAUUUCCUUGUUUAUGGGUUUCACAAGUCCGGAGAUACCGACCGUUCAGUUACUAUGCUUGAUGCUUGCAUUGCUCAGGGAUUAACACCAAGCAGCCGCAGUCUCAGAAUAGUAUUGAGUCACCAUUGCUUGUUAGGGAACCUCGAGAAAGCACUGCAAUUAUUUCAUAUGAUUGAGGGCAGUGAAUGGAAGCAUGGUUUAGUCAUUGAGUUGACUCUCAUUUCAGCUCUCCUUUCAUUUGGAAGAAAUUCUGAAGCAAAAUCAUGUCUGAACAACCUGAGCAGAAGUGCACUAGCUACAUCUUACAUUAGUUUUGAUGUGCUAAUCAAGGAAUUCUGCAGACUGGGAGACGUGGAAAUGUCUGUUAAUCUGAUAAAUACAAUGUUGAAGCAUGGUAGACUUCCAAGUGAUGCUAGUUACAGCUCUAUCAUAUACAGGUUAUGUAUACUGAAAGAAUUUGAUCGGGCGCUUGAUUUUCUUGCUGAGAUGCAGUUGGAAAACUUAAAACCAAGUGAGAUCUCCUGUGAUGCGCUCAUGCGUGGCCUUUGCGCCUUGGGAAGAACCAGUGACGCUAAGAAGAUUUUGGAAAUGCUAAGGACCUUUGGGUCUGCAGCAUCCUUUGGCAUGUAUAGAACUGUAUUUGAUAACUACCGUAGGUGUAACAACACACCGGAAGCCGCAGGACUUCUGCAUGACAUGCAGCAAGCAGGACACACACCCAACUUUGAGAUGCAGUGGUCUGUGAUAAGCAAUUUAAGCAGGACUGAUAGGAAGACUGAAGGAUGUGAACAACCUAUCUUAUCAAACCUUAUUUCAUCCAGUGAAUUCCCCAUGAAGGAUAAUAGGAGGAAAUGA